CUCUUCCACACUAAGUCCUGACCCUCAGAUGACCCCCGAGUGAAACAUGCCACACAGGACUGUCCUCAACCAUGGUUUCUGACACUGAGGAAGCCUCGAGGGCCUUCAACGGAGACAUUGUGCCCAGAGGUCAAGAAGAGUCAGCAAUGCACAGCAUCACAGUCAGAGUCAAAGCAGCGAUCGGCCGGCUGCUUGUCAGUCAUGUCUUACUGAGCCAGACGAACCGCAAUCAGGAACAGAAUGAGUCACAGAGAGAGGCGCAGGCACAGAGAGCUUAAACAGUACAAACGCUCUGCAGAAUAAAAGCCAAGAACACAGUUUCAAGAUUUUUGGCUGCCAGUCUACAACCAAUGGCCAACCAUCGGAGUUAAAAAAUGGAGCCGAAGCAAAACUGGAAAAACUGCAGUUCCUUUAGGCAUCGGCAGGCUCCACAGCUUCAUGACAAACAUGUC